rnacentral:rRNA from 1 species
GAGUUUGAUCAUGGCUCAGGAUAAACGCUGGCGGCGUACAUAAGACAUGCAAGUCGAACGGCGGAAGCUGGAAGUUCUAAACAUCUAGUGGAAACCGUGGCGGACGGGUGAGUAACACGCAAGUAACCUGCCUAUAAGAGGGGGAUAACAGGAAGAAAUUCCUGACAAUACCGCAUAAGCUAGAAUUACCGCAUGGUAAAGCUAGAAAAGAUUUAUUACUUAUAGAUGGGCUUGCGACUGAUUAGCUAGUUGGUGAGAUAAUAGCUCACCAAGGCGACGAUCAGUAGCCGGAUUGAGAGGUUGAACGGCCACAUUGGGACUGAGACACGGCCCAGACUCCUACGGGAGGCAGCAGUCGGGAAUAUUGCACAAUGGAGGAAACUCUGAUGCAGUGACGCCGCGUAUAGGAAGAAGGUCUUAGGAUUGUAAGCUAUUGUCGUGUGAGAAGAAAAUGACUAUCACAGGAGG